rnacentral:rRNA from 1 species
AUUGAACGCUGGCGGCAUGCUUUACACAUGCAAGUCGAACGGCAGCACAGGGAGCUUGCUCCUGGGUGGCGAGUGGCGAACGGGUGAGUAAUGUAUCGGAACGUGCCUGGUAGUGGGGGAUAACUACUCGAAAGAGUGGCUAAUACCGCAUGAGAUCUUUGGAUGAAAGCGGGGGACCUUCGGGCCUCGUGCUACUGGAGCGGCCGAUAUCAGAUUAGGUUGUUGGUGGGGUAAAGGCCUACCAAGCCUGCGAUCUGUAGCUGGUCUGAGAGGACGACCAGCCACACUGGGACUGAGACACGGCCCAGACUCCUACGGGAGGCAGCAGUGGGGAAUUUUGGACAAUGGGCGCAAGCCUGAUCCAGCAAUGCCGCGUGCAGGACGAAGGCCUUCGGGUUGUAAACUGCUUUUGUACAGAAAGAAAAGUCUCUGGCUAAUAUCUAGAGAUCAUGACGGUACUGUAAGAAUAAGCACCGGCUAACUACGUG